rnacentral:tRNA from 1 species
UGACCCGUGGUGUAAUCGGUAGCAUGGCUGAUUCUGGAUCAGUCGGUUUAGGUUCGAGUCCUGGCGGGUCAG